GACGUAGGGCGCGAGCGCUGUCCGGAUUUAUUGGGCGUAAAGAGCUCGUAGGCGGCUUGUUGCGUCGGCUGUGAAAACCCAUGGCUCAACCGUGGGCUUGCAGCCGAUACGGGCAGGCUAGAGUUCGGUAGGGGAGACUGGAAUUCCUGGUGUAGCGGUGAAAUGCGCAGAUAUCAGGAGGAACACCGGUGGCGAAGGCGGGUCUCUGGGCCGAUACUGACGCUGAGGAGCGAAAGCGUGGGGAGCGAACAGG
rnacentral:rRNA from 1 species